CCUACGGGGGGCUGCAGUGGGGAAUAUUGGACAAUGGGGGGAACCCUGAUCCAGCCAUGCCGCGUGUGUGAAGAAGGCCCUCGGGUAGUAAAGCACUUUCAGUGAGGAAGAACGCCUGGUGGUUAAUACCCAUCAGGAAAGACAUCACUCACAGAAGAAGCACCGGCUAACUCCGUGCCAGCAGCCGCGGUAAUACGGAGGGUGCGAGCGUUAAUCGGAAUUACUGGGCGUAAAGCGCGCGUAGGUGGCUUGAUAAGCCGGUUGUGAAAGCCCCGGGCUCAACCUGGGAACGGCAUCCGGAACUGUCAAGCUAGAGUGCAGGAGAGGAAGGUAGAAUUCCCGGUGUAGCGGUGAAAUGCGUAGAGAUCGGGAGGAAUACCAGUGGCGAAGGCGGCCUUCUGGACUGACACUGACACUGAGGUGCGAAAGCGUGGGUAGCAAACAGGAUUAGAUACCCUGGUAGUC
rnacentral:rRNA from 1 species